GGAGGAGUACCCAAGUGGCUGAAGGGGACGGUUUGCUAAAUCGUUAGGGGGGAGUAAUCUCCCGCGAGAGUUCGAAUCUCUCCUCCUCCGCCA
rnacentral:tRNA from 1 species